CCUACGGGGGGCAGCAGUAGGGAAUCUUCGGCAAUGGGGGGAACCCUGACCGAGCAACGCCGCGUGAAUGAAGAAGGAAUUCGUUCUGUAAACUUCUGUUAUAAAGGAAGAAAGACGGAUGGAGUAAAUGACAUCCGAGUGACGGUACUUUAUGAGAAAGCCACGGCUAACUACGUGCCAGCAGCCGCGGUAAUACGUAGGUGGCAAGCGUUAUCCGGAAUUAUUGGGCGUAAAGAGGGAGCAGGCGGCAGCAAAGGUCUGUGGUGAAAGACUGAGGCUUAACUUCAGUAAGCCAUAGAAACCGGGCAGCUAGAGUGCAGGAGAGGAUCGUGGAAUUCCAUGUGUAGCGGUGAAAUGCGUAGAUAUAUGGAGGAACACCAGUGGCGAAGGCGGCCUGCUGGACAUUAACUGACGCUGAGGCGCGAAAGCGUGGGGAGCAAACAGGAUUAGAUACCCCGGUAGUC
rnacentral:rRNA from 1 species